AAGAAAUUCUAAAUCUAAGCUCGAGUACAAAUAUUAUGAAUUGGAUGGUAUGCUAUGCAAAACAACGUUUAAUUUAACUAAAAUGCAGUUUGAUAAUUGGGACUCAGGUUAAAUGUAUUAAAUGAAUGUGAGAUAUACUAGGAUCACGAAUUCUCAAGUAAUGUUCAAUUUAACUUCAAUUCCAAACUUUGACAACACGGUGACAUGUUUAAGAAUCAAUACUCCUAAAUCUAUCCAACACUCUCUCUCGAGAUGAAUUGAACCUAUCCUCAUACACAACCAGCCUAUAUCUCUAUGACGGAUGCAAAUAUACGAGAAUACAUGUAGUUUUGUGAGUACUUAGAGAUUCACGCAAAGCAUAUGGGUAUAUUUCUAUCCUCUAUCGGACCCUACGAUGAUUUGUACCUUGUCGAAUUUAUUCCUAUUCUUUCGAAUAGAUGAAACAAACCACAAAAACUCACACAAUUACAGACCCAUAAUCAUGGAGGCAAUUAAAUGCAUAUAAAUCAUUCAAACAAUCAAUACGUGUUUUAAUGUCAAAAUACGGAACAAAGAAUUAAAUAUCACAUUACAAGGUUCAUCGAUCUCCUAGUAUACAUUUUUCUAGCCUAACAUGAUGGGAAGAAGAACACAACAAUACAAAUCAAGAAAAGACAUCAUCCUAAUGAAUUCUUGAAGUGAGAACUUGAAUCUUGGAUUGAAUCUUCUUGUUCUUCCUUCUUUUUUCUCUUCAAAUCCUCCCAAAACAAUGUUGAAUGCAUGGUCUAUGUUUUUGAAUGUCCCUAGGGCUUUAAAAGACUCCCCCAAGAUUUGUUUCCAUAAGAAUUUCAUUCAGAAAAGGAAACCAGAUUUUCUCGCCGCGAUUGGCUUGGGCUGUCGCCCAGGCCAAGAAUUUCUUCUCGAUAAUUAAAAAAUUAUGUUAGGGGAUCGUCCGAUAUUUAUAACUGGGCUAUCACCCAGGCAAAAUUUCUUCCGUAUGUUGUAUUUUAGCUCCCAAAGUCGAUUUUUGGUUCUUUCAAAUCCUUUCUCUUGCAUUUUCAACCCUUUGACUUUUAAUUUAAUCCAAUUAAACCUGCAACAUCUUUAGUCUUCAUUUUGUGAUCUGAAUCAACUAUUAAAAUGUUGUAACUUAGUCCUCAUACUUUGAAUUUUCUUCCUUUUUGGUUCUUUUUCUUUUCUUUUCUCUUGAAUUCCAGUACAUUCAUCAAUAUUAUCCUACAAAAUAUAAUCACAUAGAAUUAAG
rnacentral:lncRNA from 1 species